rnacentral:tRNA from 1 species
GCCGGAGUGGCGGAAUGGCAGACGCAGGGGACUUAAAAUCCCCAGGGCUGAAAGGCCCAUGCCGGUUCGACCCCGGCCUCCGGCACCA